rnacentral:rRNA from 1 species
UACGAAGGGGGCUAGCGUUGCUCGGAAUUACUGGGCGUAAAGGGCGCGUAGGCGGACAGUUAAGUCAGAGGUGAAAGCCCAGGGCUCAACCCUGGAAUUGCCUUUGAUACUGGCUGUCUUGAGUGCGGGAGAGGUGUGUGGAACUCCGAGUGUAGAGGUGAAAUUCGUAGAUAUCGAGAGGAACACCUGCGGCGAGGGCGGGUUGCUGGGCUGACACUGACGCUGAAGCGCGAAAGCUAGGGGAGCGAACGGG